CUGCCAGCCUCAGCCUCCCAAAGUGCUAGGAUUACAGGCAUGAGCCACCGCGCCCAGCCAAAAUAGUUUCUUUAACAUAACCAUGCUUAUACCAAUGCAGUACUAAAAUAUAAUUUGUAUAUAUUUUCAUGAAGGAAGGGACCCACAAAGGCAAGUGCCUAGGACCCACACAAAUCACAGUGUGGCUCUUGCUCCAACCAUGGGAGAAGCCACAGAAGAGCAUUCCAGGCAGAGGGCACGGCAAGUGCAAAGGUUCUGAGGUGGGAAUGAGCUGGACAUGUUUGAGAAACAGCAAGAAGGACCUCAAGUGAGGACUCUCCCCCAAGACCCCCUGUGCUCCCCCGCAAUGGACUGAAUGUUCGUCUCCUCCAAAUUCAUAUACUGAAAUCCUAACCUCCAAGGUGGAGCCUUUGGAAGGGGAUUAGGUCAGGAAGUCAGAACCCUCGUAAAUGGAAUUAGUAUCCUAAUAAAAUAGAUCCUUGAGAGCUCCUUCACUCCUUCUGCCAUGUGAAGACACAGCAAAAAGGCACCGUCUAGGAAAAGUGGGCCCUUGCCACACACCGAAUCUGCUGGCACUUUGAUCUUGGACUUUCCAGCCUCCAGAACUGUGAGAAAUCAAUUUUUAUUGUUUUCAAGCUCCCUAUUUUAUGAUAUUUUGUUGUAGCAGCUGAAACAGACUAAGACAUCCCUGAAUGAGGUUAAGAGGUUUAUUGAGUCUGCAAGCCUUUCUUCUCUACAACUUUAUCCCAGCAAGAGACUCCACACCAGGGGACUGGGUGGAGUCCCACUCUCUUUUGUUCCCCCAUCAGUUUCCAAGGUCCCUAACUCUGGCAGUCUUUAGUGAGUCCCUGCCAGAAACAGGCAGAGAUGCUCGUUCUAUAUUUUAUUUAGCCACUAAUUGCCUGCAUUUAAAAGGCAUCACAGUGCCAUCCACGUCCUCUGCUUCAUGCCCUGAUGCGUGUUUCUGCAUGAAGGGACACGGGGCAGGGGAGUGAGGGGGAGAGGGGCCACAGUCUCCCCAGUGACAGCUUUAAAAGCCUGACCCCAGUGCUGAGUGCUGGAGGAUGUCAGGUUGUCACCCUGAGAAGCGAGAGGAGGCAUGCAGGGGCUGGGGCCUCUGCAGAAAGGAGGAGAGAGGUCAGGGCCCUGGCGAGGGCCAGGAAAGAGUUGUGGGGGGGCACUCCAUGUCCCCACUCACCCCUAGGAUGAGGGCCCGGCUGAUGGAGAUCUACCCAGAAUGCCUUGUUUUCAGCUCCACUUUCCAGCCUGGAGGACUCUGCAAUAAGCAGCUGCCUGGAAAAGGGUAUGGUACGGGCCGCAGACAGUCAUGUCUGCUGCGAUCAGUAAGGAGACAGCAUUUGAGCCUUGGCUUUGCCCAAGAGCAAGAGAAGGAAGUCAGGGGAGAUGGGAGUAAGGGUUGGAAGGUGGAGGUAAAUGGAUGAGACAGGUGAUAGGUAGAUGGCAGCUAACUUUUGAGAAGGCCCCAGUAUUCUCCCUUUGGGUUUUCCACCUGCUCAGGAGAUGUACACCCUGGUAGAUGAAGAGAAAACUUGCUUCUCAUCAUUUCCCAAUCACUUCCAAGUCUAACUCAGAGCCAAAUGUAAUCUCACUCUGACACCAAGCCUCAUACCAACAGCAAACCUACAAUCAACCACAACCCUAUUGACCCACUCCUCAUCUCUAAAUCCAAGCCUCAUCCGACUACAGUUUCAACCCUAAUCCCACACUUCAUACCAAAAUCAAGCCAAAAUGCUCCAACUCAAACUCUAAGAGCAAUUAGAAUCCUAAUAUCAUUUCCAACCCCAAUCUAAUCUUAACCAAUCCAUCACUCAUCCCAGACUUCAACCCUAGUUCUUACUGUAAUAUCCAUCUCAUAGGGAAAUCCACCCCCAACUUCUUUCCCAGUCCUUAUUUCUCACCUGACCCAACCCCUUCUCCAACAACAAUUUUACCUCCUAACUGCAAUUGAUGCCAAUCACUUGCCCUGGCACUACAUCUAGCCCCUGGCUUGGCCCUGUGGCACCUAGACAAGGCUGAUUGAGGGUUAGAGGACUGCCAUCUUGAGCCAAGCCACCAAGCCAUGGGAACUUCAGGGUGGUGCCCCCCACUUUUUGAGUGCUCAAGGUCCCGGCUCUAAGUCUAGGAGUCUGGGCUCUUCCUGCUAUGUUCAGCUCCCAGCCACCGGCCCCAGUGACACCAGCCGCUGGGCCUGAGCUAAGAAGCCAUGCUUCUCCUGAAGAAUGGCAAGAAAUUAGCACUUGGCUGGGCCGCCCCAUCAUUGCUGUUCCUCACACCUUGCUGGGUAAUUUCUACAAGACCAAAGCCUGAGCCUAAUGGGCCGCCUGCUUCCAGCCCGGUGGACAACAUCAGGGAAAGCAGCCCCCAGGGUUUCUCACAGACUAAGGGGCUCUGUGCUCUGCUGAAAGGAUGGUGCUUACAGUUGUCAGGAGAGAAGGACACUCUGAAAGCUUGGGAUCCUACAGCUGUUGGGUGAGAAUGAGCAAGUUAAGAGUGCUCUGCUGAGCCUAAAAAGCAGGAAAACGUUCUCUGCGGCAAUGGGAAAAGGAGUCAUCUCUGUUAGUGACUUGAGUGCCAAAGAGCCAUGUCUGUGCUCGGCACACGCCGAGUGGUGAAGCCUCCAGCGUGUACAGCCAUCCAAGCAGCCCCACCGAGAACAGCUCUGUGUACCAUGCCCCAUUCCUGGGCCCACCACCGUCCACCCUCGAGCCACCCGGUGACGAACACCAGCCAUCACCACCGCAUGGGCUGGCACCCCACCAGUCCGCUGUCAUCACCCACCCCUCUUCCUGGGGUCGGUCUGUCUGCUUAGAUGGGGAGCUGGAUGGCUGGCCUGGCCGCCAACUCUGCGUUCCCUGCCGGGCCCAGUGCACCAUGAUUGCUCACCAAAAGCUAACUAAAUGGUCUGAACUUUCUCCAGCUUUCUUUCCCAGCAAUUUCCACUUCCUGGGAGGGAGGAAUGGUGACUUCCGCUCCAUCCUACAAGGAAGGCAAGAUGGUCUGGUGGCUAAGAGGCAUAGCUCUAAAAACAAGCAAACAUGUCUGACCACUAACCGUACCUCCAGCCCUAUCAUUUGCUAGCUGGAUGGGCCUUGGGCAAGACAUCUUGACUUCUCUGAACUUCAGUUUUCUGUUCUGUAAAGUGAAGAUAAUUAUGGUACCUGUCUCAAAGAGCUGCUUUAAGAAUUCAGUGAGGUAGCACACAGUAAGUGUGUGUGUGUGUGUGAGUGCUGAGCAUAGUGGCUGACACACAGUAGGUCCUCAGUAAACAUUAACUUAGGAUCAUGAUGUGGCUACAGACAUUGGUAGCCUAACUUCAAGACAGGGUCCCAAGAGGGGGUCAGUUUGGUCAUUGUCCUGGAGAAGGCCCUAAACUUGAUGUGUUUACGGUCUUGUCGGAAGCACCCACUUUGCUUUCUCUUCAUCCUACCAGACAUUCUCCUUUCCCCGUACCACCCUGGGCCAGGGAACCCAGUCAUUCCUUCAUUCACCCAUUCACACAUUCACUCAUUCACUUCAUUCACUCAUUCAAUAUCCAACAAAUAUUUACAGAUUGAUUAUUCUAAUCCAGGCCCUGUGCUAUGGGCUGGGGGAUAAGUAAACAGGUCAAGGUGCCUACUUUCAUGAUACCCAUGGCCUAAAGUGAAGGGGGCUGGGUGCUUUAUCAGUGCUAGGGUGAGGGGCACACAGGAGGACACCCUGGUCUCAGGAAUGGCUUCCUGGAGAUGGGCUUGUAUAAGCUAACAUCUGGAGGACAAAUAGGAGUUAGCUGGGCAAAGGUAGCCAGGCAAAAGGGAGAAAGAGUGUCUCAGGCAGAGGAAAACAGCCCCGGCAAAGGCCUGGGUGGGAGAAGACAUGCAAGCUUUGUGUGACGAGUGUCCUGAGUCGAAGUGGAGCCAUAAGCAAUGAUGCACCAUGCAGGCUAGAGUUUGUUAUCCUUCCUGGGAGCUCUCCCUGCUGGGAUGGUCCUGCUGAUACUUUUCCUUCUCUCCACACGCAGCCUCCACAAGGAGACCUGUCCUGAGCCCCUGCCUGGUUGUUGGGGAAAGGAAGGAGAGAGGGUGAGACCCAGGAGAGGAAUUUGCACCCUGGGAGGGCCUGAGAUGGAAAGAAACCAGGAAGAGUGAUUCCUCAGCUGGAGAUAAUGUCUACAGUAACCAGUCCACUGAGGCAUGAACUCCAUUUUCUCACUCAAUCUUCAUAACAGCAUUACAAGGAGAUACUCUUAUUAGUUCCGUUUUGCAAAUGAUGAGACUAACACAUUGAGAGUUUCAGUAACAUGCUUCACACCUACAGAAUGUGGCCCUGGUGUCAGUCCCCAGAGCCUGUGCUCUUAACCCCCAGGCCACCCUGGAUAUGGGGCAGCACAGGGGUGGGGGUGGGGACCAGGGACAGGAAGGCAGUGGAGGGAAUGGUUCUUGGGGUAGCUCCCCUUGGCCUCUUGACCAGCCAGUCUCCUUGAGACAGACCAGGGAGCAAGUGCCUGCCAGAGCCUGACAGGACAAAGUUCCCCAUUCAGAGUUCUGAUGAUCUCUCCCAGCUGCUCAGCUCCUUGCAAAGCAUUUUCCCUUAAUAGCCUCCUAUUCAACAGAACGGCUGCAGCCCACAUCUGUGGAAACCAGGCCACAGCAACUCCUCCUACCAGGCCAGCAGGGCUGCCAUGGCCAUGGUCACCAUGUCCUAAGCUUCUCCUUGUCCCUCCAAGUCAGGAAACUUCCAAGCCCCUUCCACUCCACCCGCUGUUUCCAGGACUCUGCCUACAGCAGAGGGACGGAGCUGAGAUGCUUUCCCUCAGAUCAGUCUGUCCUUAACUUUUCUCUGCCCAAUGCAUCUUCAGGGUGAGAUUGGAGAGCAGGAGGAUGGGUAGAACUCCUGGGUUCUCAUCCCUCCUCUGCCUCUAACUUGCUUCGUGACCUUGGAAAAGUCACUUUACCUCUUUGGGACUACCGUUUCAUCAACUGUAGAAUAAGAAGAGGGCCCAGCCUGAAAUCAGAAGCCCAGAAUCCUGGAUCUACCACUAACAAGGUGUGACCUUUGACAUACCUCUCUGAACCUCAGUUUCCUCUUCUAUAUAAACAAGUCGACCCACCUCCGCAGCUACUGAGAGGAUUCAAAGAGAUGACCCAUGUGAAGCACUUAGCAUAGUGCCUGGCUCAAAGUAAACAACAAAUAAAUGUUAGCUGUAAUUAUUGUUAUUACCAUUUUCAUAAUUGGUGUUUUUCAAACUUUUUAGCUGUAGAUUUUUUUUUAUGUUCAAAUGCAAAUUUUUAAGCAGAACCCCGAUACCAUAUAUGAAAAGUGAUGUGUUGGAAGAAUGCUUGUUCACGCCUCCUGCCAGCUCUUCCCAGUGCUGAUGCACAGGGGCCUCUGGUUUUGACCAGUAAGUCCCAGACCCAGCUGAUUAUCAGACCAUCCUGGGAGGAUUUCAAAACUAAUAUCCCAAGCCCUACUCCUGAGAUUCUCAUUCAGGGAGUCUGGGGUAACCCCAGAGAGUAGAGCUUAUGGAAUCAUCCAGGUAGUUCUAAUGAUCUCCCGGGUUGGGGCAUCAUUAAGGACCCUUCUGGAUCUGACAGCAGGACUUUGAGUACAAGGGCCUCCUUCCCUAUGGUCCUCUCUUAAGCUGAGAAAUAGCCCACACAGGCCCAGUGAGUUCCAGUUAUUUCCAUGCCCUCUCAGCUGGCCUCCCAUCAAGGUUCCUUUCUGUGAGUUCUUUCUCUUGGAGUCCUGACCGAAAGGGAACACGGAGAAAAUGCUCCUUGACUUCCCUCCAGGCCCAGCCCACAGUCACCAUGUUCCUGCUCCUCCUUUCCAGGCCUACCUGUCUUGAAGGCUUUCCAUGUGCCGGGCACCAUGCCAAGUGCCUUACAUUUACCAUCUUGCUAAGUCCUCACAAAGCCCUAUGAGGUAUGAAUUAUCAUCAUGCCUGCUUGACAGAUGAGAAAACAGAAGCAGAGAGGUGAGGUGACUUGAUCAAAGCCACACAGCUGUAAAUAGUCAAGAUGCAACUCUACCCUAGGCCUGCCUGACCCCAUAACUCAUGCUCUUACCUGUACUGCUGAUGUCCUCCCCUCUGUGCCCCCAACUCCUAACCUUACUCUAUCAGUCUCUACUCCCUGCCUCCCACAUCCCCAGAAACCUGCCAAAGUUUCUCCCAAGGAGCAUGGCUUCGGGCCACAGCUCCUGUACUGGCAGGCAAGAAAAACCACAGCAGGGUCUGACCUAACUGGCAUCUGAGAAUGCCCUGGGUCCCAAAUAGGAGUAGAGAGGCCAGGCACUUGCUUGGGAGAUGAGAGAUGAACGUGUGAAUCCAGCCAUCCAGCCAGUCUCUCCUGAGUGGAUCUUCCAUCUGCCAUCUGCCAUGUGGCAUUCAUCCAUUCAUCCAUCCAGAUACCACGUCAGCCUGAAUUUACCAGCCCUGGUCAUCUGUCAAUCUUUCUUCUGACAUCAGAGGCCACCCCGUGGUCCUUACUUGCCGCUUUGCUCAUCAGUUGGUCAGUCCAUUUUUACAGACCAAGGGCCUUGGUUUGUGAGAUUCUGGGGUGGAGAUCCCUGAUCUCAGUGAGAACAGAUCUAGCCACUGUUCCCACAGACCUCAUAAUCAGACACCCACAGAGCCAGCAUCCAUCCAGCAGCACCCCCAGGUCAUGUUGUGGAACAAAGUCUCCCUUUCUGCCCCUACCACCACCUCAUCUCCCCUGGGCUCAGCUGCCCCCACUGUUGGGGACCUUUCCCUUUGUGACCUGUCUUGGUAAUUUGGGAGGUGAUUAACAGCAAUCACGCUUGAGUUUGACAUCCAGGCACGGCCGCUAAAUUGAGGCUCACAAAGCCGCCUUGACAUCCAAUAUGUUAUAUGCUUUUCCCCUUAAUUAGGAGCUAAAGUGGAUAAAUAUGAAGUUGCCAUGGCAACAGCCUCCCGGGUUGGUGGAGGGAUGCAGCUCAGUUUCUGUCUGCUGGCUGGCUGACAUGUUGGUUGAUGGACCAAACUGGCUCCUGGGAAGGGUGAGAUGGAGCCCUCUCCCACUUUCCUGGAACCUGCCCUCCAAGCCCCAGUUCUGGUUACUCUCUCCAUCACUGCUCAUCAGACUCCACAGAGUCUGACAAUGCCCCACCUGGUCCAUAGAUCUCAGUUGGUCUAACUCCCUCAUGGAACAGCUAGAAAAACUGAGGAGGUUGGUUCCUCCCCAAGGAGUGAGAGGCAGACAAGAUCUAACACCCACAUCUCCUGACUUCCAGACUAGUCAAUAGUGGUUCUUAACUGUCUGGAGUACCUAGAUCCCUUGAAGAAUCUGUUGAAAGCUAUAGAUUCUGCAACAUAGGCCAGAGAUCAGCCACACAGUGGGGUUCUGACCCGGGACUGCAGCGAAUCUGCUUUUAAAAUUUCAUAAACAGUCGAGCACAUACUGUGUGCAUUUUCUCACAUGCUCUAAAUUAAUCCUUGAAAUCCUAUGAGGUAGGAACCGUAAUUAUCCCCAUUUUACAGAGUUUCAGAGAAGUUUAGCCAUUUUCUCAAUGUCACACAGCUAGCUGGUGGAGGAGUCAGGAUUUGGACCCAGGUCUGUCUGCAGACUGCGAAGUCCAAGCUCUAACCGCUAUACUCUACUGCCACCUGGACGGCCUUUCUCUGACCCACAAGUAAUGACUGUAGCAGCUGUGGGGUUUCAGCCAAGGAGUCCUUCUCUUGCCUAGGGAAGUGAGAACACUCUGAAAAACUCCCUCUCUUCCUCUAGCUCUACAGAAGGACGGGUGGAGGAGAGUCUCUUGGCUCUUGUCUCAUACAAGCCUCCUAUUGAGGAAGAGCCAGCCCCAAACACUGCUAAUAGAGGUCAAGAUGUUUAAAUGUUGAAGGAAGAAGCCAGGGUUCCAUUCAAAGAACCUACAAAAGAAAGCACCUCAGAGCUACCAAAGUCCUAUUUUUGGGAGACCAAACUAGGUCUUCCUCCUUUCCCUUCUCCUUCUUUGCCAACAAGACCUACUGCAGAGCCCUGUGUUUGGGCAGGGAAAGGAGGCAGCGCUUCCUCCCCAGCCCCCAACCCAGAGCAUGUCCCCUUGCUUGGAGAUCCAUCAGGCCCAAGCCUUGCUGGCAGGUGGGAGGUGAGCCAUGCCUGCCUCCCCGAGGAGCUGGGACUCGGGGCUCCUCCAGCGCCCCCGCACCACGUGGCGUGGGUGCUGGCAGCAGGAGCUGGGGCUGGUGGCUUGGCCCUCGAACUUCCUUUCCUUCCAGUUCUGACUAAAAAUAGAGACGGCAAGGACGCAUCUCAUUCUGUCAGACAGUGUAGGGGGGACGCCUGUGCAGAUAUAGGCCCCCUCUUUCUGAGCAUGUAAGACCCAGCCCCCAGUUCUCCCCAUAUACGCCCCUGCCUCACAGCCUUCCUCUGUGGCAGCAGCCAUUGCCCAGGAUCCAGGGUUAGGGCAGGGGAUUUCCCACUUUCCCGAAAGUGGCUUCACGGGUUUCCUCUCCCUCUCCCUUCAAGCCAUGUAGGAUGGGUGGGACAAGCCUGUCAGGACUGGACCUCUUCCUACCUUUCAGUACUGGAAUUAGGUGCAGAAGUCCAGGCAGCUGAGUGGAGCCCUAGGGUGGUAGUAGUGGGCGAGAGAGAGUAUGUGCUCUAAGGAUGUCUUGUAUGUUGCACUUCUCAGGGAAUAUGACUGUCAAGUCCCAGGGUCCCUCCUACCUCUUGGCUUCCUGCAGGUCCUCUCUCCAGGUGAUUGAGAGAAACCCCUGGUCUCCUGUUUGGGUGCUGGGUUCCUGUAGGCAACGCUACCCAUCAGAGAGGCUCAGGUGGGGUGUACAACAGGUGUGAGGGAGGAGUCUAGAAUCAUCCGCUGUUCCCCUCUACCCAGCUCCCCACACCCAGCUGCCCAGUUCAGAGCUAUGCUUAGGGAGAAUGCAGCCUCUCUGCAAAGACCCUCCUUGAUAUCAAAACACACACACACACACACACACACACACACACACACACACACACACCCUUUCCCGGACACAGUGAAUUUAUAAGACUACACCAGGUCUUGAGGGCAAGAAAAGCUGGGGAGGUGGGGCUAAGCUGUGGACAGGCACAAAAAUGGUACCUUUACCAUGGCUCCUUGUCACCCAAGGGAAUGGUUUCUUCCUGGGGCAGAAGCCGAGCUCCAGACUUCUGAUUCACCCCCACCCAAUCCAAUCUAAGCACACAAGACUCUAAACACUUACUGGUUCAAUCACACAGGAGGUGGUGAGAAGUAGGAGGGAAGAAGCAGUUUGUUGUUUAUUGCUAGUGCCUGGAACAGUGCCUGGCACAUAGUAGGUGCUUGGAAAGCUUUGUUAAGUGAGUGAAUGAGAGAAUGAAUAAAUGAAUGAAUGAGAUGCAGGCAUGAACCAAGACAGGAAGGGAAUCAUUAAAGCCAUCAUUAUGGUACUUUUGCAACAGGGUUGGACUGGGAAAUUAGAGCCAAGGGCAGGCUAAUAAUUUGGUGCCUCUUCAAACCAACACUCUUUCAAUAUUUGUUCAAUAUUUAUUUGGAAGAGAAGCUGCGCGGAGACUGUGCAGAGAAGGGGGCCUGCUCACAGCCCUCAGCCUCUCCUCCACCUGCUGAACAGUUCACUGCCGGCCCUAACCUUGCUUGCCCUACUGAGCUUCACCAAAACUCUUUGGUUCUCCAGGACCCGCCCCCUCGGAAGGGAAGGGAGUUUAAUGAACAAUUGUAGCCCGUCGGCCCCUGGGGAUCUCACCUCUGUACCUAGCAGCUUAUAGAAGUGUUCCUGCCAACACCCUCCACCCCCACAGCGGCUUGUGCCUGGUAGAUACUCUUUUCUCCAACUCAUUAGGUGACUAGUGAAGUUUUAGUGCCCCUUAGAGAUGAGUGCCCCGGGCAGCCGCCUGGUGGACCCCUCUCCAUCAGGCCUCUUCUCCAAGUGACUACGGAGGGGAACGGCAUGGAGGAGGAUUUCCUCAGUGCCCUCCUCAGCUCCUGGCCAUUACCCACCACCAUAUUUAGGAGGAAAGGUCAGGAGGGGGAGGAGGAGUGUGUGCAGGGGUCAAAUCCCAUUGCUUCUAGCUUGGAGCAGGUGAGAGGAGAGUGACCAACUGGCUGCCAGAAGGGACUCCCACUUCCUCCCAGUGAGCUCUAGACCAGGCCUGUAGCUCUUGGUCCCCACUCUGCAGGGGAGCAUCCUGAGCCCCAUGAGUACAAGCCAGCCUGAGGUAGAUGGCAUCAGAGCUACUGAAGUAAUACUGUCUGACUUCCAUUCCCUGGGGAUGCCCAGAGAAACCAGAUGUCUGGCCAAUGAGGCGCUCACCGGAGCAAAGUCUUUAAGUAAAUACAUAGUCACUCACUUCUGUUUCCUCCACUCUGCUCGCCUCACCCUCCCCUGCUUUCUGCAUGCAGGCUCCUACUCCCAUCUCAGCCCACCGGCCCCCUGCCCCACAGCCUCCCUGCAGCUAACUUCCCCUCUCCCAGGCCCAUAACCAGCCUCUCCAUCCCCUCCUCAGCCCCCUGCCACCUGAGCAGCCAUAAAAUGAAACAUCUGAGCACCGGUACAGAUGAACAAAUAAUAAAAACAUUAACAGUAUAUUUCUUGAGCACUCGUUGUGUGCAAGGCACUAGGCUAAAUAUUUUUUUUUUUUUUGAGACGGAGUUUGGCUCCUGUUGCCCAGGCUGGAGUGCAAUGGUGCGAUCUCGCCUCACCGCAACCAUCACCUCCCGGGUUCAAGCGAUUCUCCUGCCUCAGCCUCCCAAGUAGCUGGGAUUAUAGGCAUGUGCCACCACACCUGGUUAAUUUUGUAUUUCUAGUAGAGACGGGGUUUCUCCAUGCUGGUCGGGCUGGUCUCGAACUCCCAACCUCAGAUGAUUUGCCUGCCUCGGCCUCCCAAGUUGCUGGGAUUGCAGGUGUGAGCCACCAUGCCCGGCUCUAAAUACUUCAUUAUGUGCAUUAUCUCAUUUACUCCUCAUAUAUCCCCUGUCCCCUGAUAUAUGGGUAACAUAGGCUAUUCAGGGCAAGGCUCUGGGGUCAGACAGAGUCUCAGCCUUCCCACUUACCAGCUGUGUGAGACACAGGAAAAUCACUUAACCUCUCUGAGCCUGGUUUCUCGUCUUCAAAAUAGGGAGGUUAAGAAUACCUACCCUAUAGGGUUGUAUGAAGACAUAAAGAAAUAAAGUGCCUGGGCUGAACGUGGUGGCUCACGCCCUUAAUCUCUGCACUUUGGGAGGUUGAGACAGGCAGACCACUUGAGCCCAGGAGUUCGAGACCAGCCUGGGCAACAUGGCAAAACCCCACAGUGCCUGUAGUCCCAGCUACUGGUGGGGUACGGGGUGUGCUGAGGUGGGAGGAUCACUUGAGUCGGGGAGGUCUAGGCUGCAGUGAGCCUUGAUCUUGCCACUACACUCCAGCCUGGGCAACAGCACCAGACCCUGUCUCAAAAAAAAAAAAAAAAGAAAAGAAAAGAAAAAGAAAGAAAAUUCUUAGCACAGUGCCUGGCACAAAGGCUGGUUCAUGCCGGCUGUUAUCACUAUUAUUAUCCUCUUUUUAGAUGAGAAAACCAGGGAGGUUGUCAUAUGCCAGUGUCACGUGUGGCUAGAUCGUAGCAGUGUCAGGAUUAUAACCAAGGCCUCCCUAGUCCUGUCUGAGGGGCUGCAGGCUGGGGCCAAGUCAGAUAUUCUCUCCCUCCCUGGCUCCCUCCUCCUCUCCGGGGUCACAGGCUUCUCUUUUUCCUUGCCCGUGGAAAGGAAACCUCGUGGCUCCCUAGUGACAGCCAACAUCCCACAAUGCUCUCGGGAAUGUGUGCACACGCCCACCUGCCGGGCCUGGAGGAAUUCAGGCUUUAGAUUUGAAAGGUAAUUCAAUCUCCCGGUGCUUCCUCCCCUCCCCCGCAGCGCUGGGUGUUCAAGACGGCGACAAAGACCCAGUUUCAGAGGAACAAGCCCGCAAGUGCAGAGCCGCAGGCACACGCUCAGCCUCACUCACAGGCAGCCCCUUGGUCGUAAGCACAUGCUCUGCACCUUGCAGCAGUUACUAGAGACAUAGUCCACCCCCGGUCCAGCAGUCACCCAUCCCUAACCUGCCCACCCCUGGCCUCUCAAACCUCCAGACUUUGCCAACUCUCCACACAUUCCUCAGCUCCCCACGUCCAUCGGGCUCUCCGUCCCUCUCCCUUGCCCCAUCCUUAGGAAGCUCCCCUUCCUCUACCCAUCCGUUUCUCUUCCUUCCAGGCCCCAGACCCAGGGCUACUUCUCGGAGUGAGCACUCAGUGACUGCCCUUUCACCGACAGUGGGGGCAGUCCCCCACAACUCCACACUCCCACCUCUCUUUCUUUCUAUCAUUGGCUCAGCUCAGCCCAGGCUCUAAGAUUGGUGCCCAGCACUUGGGGCUGGGGCAGGAGGAAGCCUGGAGCAGCUCAGCGCUCCUGUUUAAUUAAUAAUGGGUAAUAAGUCAACAUGUAAUUAGAGGAUGAGGGCAUGUGGCUGUGCUCUUUGGGCCCUGCCCUAGGGGAGUGAGCUGGAGCCUGGCCACACAUGCCCCUGCACUGCCCAGGUCCUAGCCAGAUCAGCCUCUUGAUUCCCCUUGCUUACGCUGGGUCCUGCCACUAGGUCUCUCACCUGUGGUCCCCCCUUCAUUCAGCCUUCAGGGUCUUCUCCACUUACUCCUGCCUUGGCUUCCUCUCUGCCUUCCACACUGGGCCAAAGGAGCUCAUUCCCCACAGUCCUGGGGAUCCCAAUGUCUCCAGGGAUCACAGUUUCCUGAGGGGCCAGGCCAGUCCCCGACUCCCACACAGGCCUUGAGUACCAGAAGUCCCUGGAAGGAAUCCACAACAAGUCGAGCCCCACACCUCUCCUGCCGACCCCAUUUGGCUCCUGCACUCUGUCCUCCAUUGACAUUCUCCCCAUUCGCUCCCACUCAGCAGGGAGCCAGUGAGAGCCCUCCAGGGACCUCCCAGUCCCAGCCUGCGCCCUGUCCUCUUCCCUGCUCCAGCUCCUAGAAAAGCCUGUUGGGUGAUGGAAGGCAGCUCCCUUCCCAGCACUCCACACCCCACUGUCCAUGGGAGACAGUGUGUUGCCCUCCAGUGGCAAUAGCCGGCAGCAACCUAGGGAGGAAAGGGUGUCCAGGCUCCUUGGAGUGUCUCAGGUUCAGUCCAUCUGGGGGUGGGAGGUGGGGAGGGAGAGCGCCACACCUUUGUCGACUCACCUUUGUCAACGCAUCACUUGCAGGCUGGGUUGCUGACUACCUUUCCCAGCAGCCUAGUUAGCUCUUAUCCUGUUACUCUGGCCCUGUGCUAUCAAGUUCACCUCUGACCUCUUUCCCCAAAGUAUCAAUGAAUGGCAAUUCAACUAAAUGGCAAUAAACACGAUCAACACUUC